UAACGCCGCCCGAUUUCUGACUGUCGUCUCUGCCUUCGAUUGCCACCCAGUGGUACAACCCUAGUUGUAGCCUUACUUCAGUUGAGUUUUUGGGCAUUAGGGUUUCCAGCAUCAGCCUUGUCCGGUCCUUGGUCGUUGCAGGCAGUAAAGGAAGAGCUAAAAUUCCUUAACGGCAGAAAUUUCCAGCCAACAACUCUUUGAUAUCAGUACAAACUAGUGGCUGUGAGAUUCAACUGAGACAUUCAACUCAGGACUUUGACGCGAGACGAGUAUCUCGGAGUCAGAUUGGACCUUUCUAUUUUCGGAGGCUGG